rfam:Aedes albopictus isolate Foshan contig35003, whole genome shotgun sequence.
UAGCCUAGUGGUUAAGGCUUAGGAUCGCCAAUCCGGAGACGGCGGGUUCGAUUCCCGU